AGUGAACGCUGGCGGUAGGCCUAACACAUGCAAGUCGAACGGCAGCACAGUAAGAGCUUGCUCUUACGGGUGGCGAGUGGCGGACGGGUGAGGAAUACAUCGGAAUCUACUUUUUCGUGGGGGAUAACGUAGGGAAACUUACGCUAAUACCGCAUACGACCUACGGGUGAAAGCAGGGGAUCUUCGGACCUUGCGCGAUUGAAUGAGCCGAUGUCGGAUUAGCUAGUUGGCGGGGGAGAGGCCCACCAAGGCGACGAUCCGUAGCUGGUCUGAGAGGAUGGUCAGCCACACGGGAACUGAGACACGGUCCAGACUCCUGCGGGAGGCAGCAGUGGGGAAUAUUGGACGAUGGGCGAGAGCCUGAUCCAGCCAUACCGCGUGGGUGAAGAAGGCCUUCGGGUUGUAAAGCCCUGUUGUUGGGAAAGAAAAGCAGCAGGUUAAUACCCCGCUGUUCUGACGGUACCCAAAGAAUAAGCACCGGCUAACUUCGUG
rnacentral:rRNA from 1 species